UCCCUCGUCGUCCAGUGGCUAAGACUCUGUGCUCCCAAAGCAGCGGACCCAGGUUUGAUCCCUGGCUGGGGAA
rnacentral:tRNA from 1 species